rnacentral:ncRNA from 1 species
AUAAUGUUUAAUUUUGGCUUAAGGUUUUACGUUUUUAUUAAAAUUGCAUGAAAAUUAUUAGUGUGUAUGAAUAUAUUUAAUUUUAUAUUAAGUAUUUCUUUAAAUUAAUAUAAUUAUGAAAUUAUAUAAUCUCAGCAUAAAUUAUUAAUAAUUAUUAUAUACGAAAGUAUGAAUUAGUAAUAAUAGUUAAAUCUGAUAAAUAUUUGUGCCAGCAUUCGCGGUUAUACUUUAAGAUUAAGUAAAAAAGAUUAGCGUUUAGUUAAAUGGUGAUUUUAUAAAUAUUAUAAAUAAUAAAAGGUAAAAUUUAAUUGUUAUUUUAUAUUAUGUUAAUGAUUGUAAUUGAAGCUAAAAAAUCUAAUUAUAGACUAGGAUUAGAUACCCUAUUAUUUUAGGAAAAAAUAUAAAGCUAGAUUAGUAUUAGUUAAAUACUUAAAAAUUAAAAGAUUUGGCGGUGAUUUAAUCUUUUCAGAGGAAUUUGUUUUUUAAUCGAUAAACCACGAAGAAUCUUACUUGUUUUUGUUAAUAAUCAGUUUGUAUACCAUCAUUAUCAGAUAAUUCUAAAAAGAAAAAUUAUCAAAUUUAAAUGUUUAUUAAAAUUAGAUCAUGGUGCAGCUUAUAAACAAGGUAAAAUGAAUUACAAUAAAUUGUUUUAUGAUGAAUUAAUAAGAUAAUUCUUAUUAUGAAGGAGGAUUUGAUGGUAUUAUAAAUUUAAUAAGUUUAUAAGAUAAAGGCUCUAAAUCAUGUACAUAUCGCCCGUCGCUUUCAUUUAUAAAUGAAAUAAGUCGUAACAUAGUAGAUGUACUGGAAAGUGUAUCUAGAAUUAU